rnacentral:ncRNA from 1 species
CGCAGAUGCAGAGGUGACGUUCAAGGGAACGCGGUGAGACAUACGUCAAAACCGCGGCUGCGCCCGCAACUGUAAUCGGUGAGCUUUUCCGCAUACGCCACUGGCGGCCGCAUAGGCUGCUGGGAAGGCCGGAUAAAGCGCCAGAACCGAGAGCCAGGAGACCUGGCGUCACAAGUCGCCCUUU